rnacentral:tRNA from 1 species
AGUAAGAUGACAGAAAGGUUAUGUGCUCCGCUGUAAACGGGGAAAAUAAGAGUUCGAGUCUCUUUUUUACUA